AGAAAUCAGUUCAGCACUAAGUCACUUUGUCUAUAUGGCAAAUGUGAGAUGCAGUGUAUGGAACGUCAAUAUUCUAGUAUGAGAAAUUAACGAUUUAAGUCCUUCUUAAAUGAGGCCAUUUACCCAUAGAGGGUGCCAGGCCCGUAUAACGUUAAUGAUUACUAGAUGAUGUUUCCAAAGAGUCGUGUUGCUUGAUAGUGCAGCACUAAGUGGGUGGUAAACUCCAUCUAAAACUAAAUAUAACCAUGAGACCGAUAGUAAACAAGUACCGUGAGGGAAAGUUGAAAAGAACUCUGAAUAGAGAGUUAAACAGUACGUGAAACUGCUUAGAGGUUAAGCCCGAUGAACCUGAAUAUCCGUUAUGGAAAAUUCAUCAUUAAAGUUGUAAUAUUUUUAAAAUAUUAUAAUAAUAGUGUGCAUUUUUUCCAUAUAAGGACAUUGUAAUCUAUUAGCAUAUAACAAAUUUAUCAUAAAAUAUGACUUAUAGUUUAUUCAAAUUAUUAUGCUUGCAUUUUAACAUAGAAUAAAUGUCAUUAAUUUGAUAAAGUGUUGAUAAAUUAAAAUUAAUACAGUGCGUUAAUUUUUCGAAAUUAUAUAAUGGCAUAAUUAUCAUCGAUUUUUGUGUUUAUUAUAUGCAUUUGUAUGAUUAA
rnacentral:rRNA from 1 species